AUUGAACGCUGGCGGCAUGCCUUACACAUGCAAGUCGAACGGCAGCACGGGAGCAAUCCUGGUGGCGAGUGGCGAACGGGUGAGUAAUGUAUCGGAACGUGCCCAGUCGUGGGGGAUAACGUAGCGAAAGCUACACUAAUACCGCAUACGAUCUAUGGAUGAAAGCGGGGGAUCGAAAGACCUCGCGCGAUUGGAGCGGCCGAUAUCAGAUUAGGUAGUUGGUGGGGUAGAGGCCCACCAAGCCGACGAUCUGUAGCUGGUCUGAGAGGACGGACAGGCACACUGGGACGGAGACACGGCCGAGACUCCUACGGGAGGCAGCAGUGGGGAAUUUUGGACAAUGGGAGCAAGCCUGCUCCAGCAAUGCCGCGUGCAGGAUGAAGGUCUUCGGGUUGUAAACUGCUUUUGUACGGAGCGAAAAGGCUCUCUCUAAUACAGGGGGCUCAUGACGGUACCGUAAGAAUAAGCACCGGCUAACUACGUGCCAGCCGCCGCUGUAACAC
rnacentral:rRNA from 1 species